GACGAACGCUGGCGGCGUGCCUAAUACAUGCAAGUUGAGCGCUGAAGGUUGGUACUUGUACCAACUGGAUGAGCAGCGAACGGGUGAGUAACGCGUGGGGAAUCUGCCUUUGAGCGGGGGACAACAUUUGGAAACGAAUGCUAAUACCGCAUAAAAACUUUAAACACAAGUUGUAAGUUUGAAAGAUGCAAUUGCAUCACUCAAAGAUGAUCCCGCGUUGUAUUAGCUAGUUGGUGAGGUAAAGGCUCACCAAGGCGAUGAUACAUAGCCGACCUGAGAGGGUGAUCGGCCACAUUGGGACUGAGACACGGCCCAAACUCCUACGGGAGGCAGCAGUAGGGAAACUUCGGACAUGGACGAAAGUCUGACCGAGCAACGCCGCGUGAGUGAAGAAGGUUUUCGGAUCGUAAAACUCUGUUGGUAGAGAAGAACGUUGGUGAGAGUGGAAAGCUCAUCAAGUGACGGUAACUACACAGAAAGGGACGGCUAACUACGUG
rnacentral:rRNA from 1 species